GCAGGAGGGCUUUUGCUCAAGUCAAGUUCAAACAAAGGCUUCCCAUCCGGGGCUCCUCGGUCCUUCCACCCUCCAGCUCUGCCACCUUCCAGGCGGCUUCCAAAGACCCUGAGCCCCCGUGCCUCUUGCUGGCAGACAGGGGACACGCAUGGAGAGCCGUCCCCUGAGUCAUGGGCCCGGCCUCAAGAUGGCCCAUCAUGCCCACCGUGGUCCAGUGGCUGGUACCGUCUCGUGGCCGCCAUGGGCCAAGAGGAAAUGCGCUUUGGGAAGGCGCUGCCCAAACUGUGCCCUAGAGACGGCUGGUGAGCUUCUUACUAUGCGGGGGGGGGGCGGGGGAGGGCACAUUUUCUGGAACCCCCCCCCUUUUCACCCAUUACUUACGCCUUCACUAGAGCAUCACUCAGUGUCUGCCUCGCGAUGGGACUGUCGCAGGUUUGAUGACAUUUCUUGUCGUUGCCCGACGCUUUAUCACCUGCAGACGCACCUCUGCUUGCAUGCUUGUUUCUGUCGCUGGUUCACCCCAGGUCUGGGUCCCUGGGCUCGGCCAAGGUCCUGUGUCUGGCAGCUUCCUGCGCCCCCUUUCCCGAGUCUCCCUGUGCGUCUCCUCCACAGGCCAGGCCAGGCCGGUCUCUCAGGGUUUCCACGGGACCCUCUCUCUGCUGUUCCCGUGGGUGGUGUCGUGAUGGACCAGGGCUCUGGCCUCCUUAACCAACAGAGACCGAUAGGGGCCAGACUAGAAUUCAGGCCAGGCUUUACUGGGGCCCCUGCUGCAGCUGGGGGGUGCGGGGGGAGUGAAAACAAGUAGCAAGUUCUCUUGCUCACUCCGUGAGGUGGGGGGCAAGCUGGUUCUUUAGAUGGGGUGAGGUGGGGGGGCCCAGGGGCCAGAGGCGGGGCUUAGGUGGCCCGCCCCCUUGCUGGUGCUGUGUGCAGGGAGCCAACGAAGCUCCCAUUUUUGCUCAGCUCUUCAAAGAGGCAGUUGGGUUUUUGGCCUUUUUGUAUCUUGUAUGUAAUUGGCCCCAACUGCAUGCAUACGGCUAUUUUUAGUCCCCAGUAGGUUCUUUGUAUGCUGUUGCUGGAGGAGCUGUUUGCCCCGGGGCCCAGGCCACAGCCUGUCUCCGCGCAGCCUCUCCCAGUGAGGUCCGUGGGAAAGCCUCCUACCUCCAGACCCUGCUGCGGCCGGGACCUUCGUCUCCCUCCAGUCCUCCUUGGGGUUUCCUGCCAGUGUCCCGAACCCCACCUGACCCCUCCGAGCCCUCUGACCCCCAGCACAGGCUCCCUUCGGCCCAGCCCCCAAUCUCCCAGCAUCUCAGGGAGCGAGGCGCUGUCCACUCCGGCCCCAAACACAGGGGCCCUGGCCCCUCACCCAGCACCCCUCCAGCCUGCCCUGCUGAGCUGUCCUCCUGGCGGGGAUCGCCCCCUCCAAGGGACCCCUCUUGGGGGGCGUCCAGCCUCAGGUGUCUGCACCGCUUCCUCUGUGAAGCCGCAGCCCCCGUGAAGGGCCCUGGGCCUGCGGCUGCCCCGGCCUCUCUCGCCAAGGGCUCGUGUACCUUCCUAAUCAGCUCUCCAGGGACCAGGCCCGGGAGGUGGCUCUCGCCCUGAGAGGGCGAGGCUGCUUGUCGUGGCAGGUGCCUGCAGGACCCAGGGAUCCCCGCUGGAAGGCCCAGGAACACGUGGAGAUCCAGGUAAUGAAAGCCCCGCAGUAAAACAUGUAAUUAGCUACAAACAACGCAUUGUGUGGUGUCACCCUUCAGCAGAUUCUAAAUAAGCCUGGGCUGAGGAAUCACUACCCUAGGCUCUGUGUUUGGCGAAUUUCAACCCCCUGGAGAACUAAGCCGAGUAAUUACCAGGCAGCUGAGAGGCCAGGCCAGCCCCUGCUUGGAUCCUCAGGUCCCCGCUCCAAUUAGUGGGAGCCGCAGCCCUGCCAAGGUUGUGACAGCGAAGCACGCCGGCCGGGACCAGCCUUCACUGUCGGGGGUCCCUUGUGUGUGUGUUCCUGCUCCUCCAGACACCCCAGCCAGUCGGGGGGAAGAACGUUUAUUUAAUGCAGGAAACCCUCAUGGACUCUGGGUGGGCUGGGAAUGCAGGAAACGGCCCAGCGAGCGUCCAAGUUCAUGGUCAUCAAGAGAGCAGGGCCAGGAGGCACCAACGAAACCGGAGCUCGGUCCCAUCGGCGGACAGCGCAGGCCCGACUGCCGUCUUCUCAGCUGUUGAAAGGCGCCCCCCCCAACAUUCAGCUAAAAGUGCAGGUAACCCUGCUUUGUCCCCACGCCUGUGUGUGGGAAGUGGCCUCGAGGACACCUGGCGGAGGCGUCUGUCUGGGCUCCGGGGCGAAGGCGCCUGAGGGCACAAUCCCCGCACCUUCACACUGAGGGCUGCGGGCAUCCAGAGCCCCUCGAAGCCCCUCCCUCACCCCCAGGGACCAGGGACCCCAGGCCCUGGAAGGAGGUGCAGGGGUGGCCCCAGGGUGUGUCCCAAGUGCCUUGUGCUCCGCAGAGAAGGGACCCUGGACACCAGCUGGAGUUGGGUGGACAGGAGGGGGCGUGCUCUGAAUUCAGAGACCAAAUUUCCUCCCGAAAAUAGAAAGAUACUGUCGUUUUCAUCGUCAUUUGACAAACGCGUUUCAUUUCCAAUCGUCACCCGGAGAAUGACAAACUAUGAUAAAGUGGCCAGAAUGUUCUAGGUCCUUAGGGGGCCCGGGUCCAGAUCCCGUGUUUAGGGCACAAGCUCUGGGGGUGGGGGGACCUCCGCCUGCCUCCGUGUCCCCACCUGGGAAAGGAGGCUCUCACACUGCUGUCCCCCAAAGCCCCCUGGUGGUCACACCGGGGGUCUGCGCUCCUAAAAGCUGCGCUCCGAGGCGGGCACGCCGGACACGCCCCCACGGGCCCCGGGAGGCUCCGUGAUUGGACCGUCGGCGGGGAGGUCAUUGCACCUGGAUUUAUUUACCCCCCUUUGUAUCUGAGCAAGGAAAUGCAGCCAUCAAUCAAAAAACUAAUCAUCCAUUUCUGUUGCUUUCCAUUAAAAGGGGCAUUUCUCAUCUGCUUGGCAAAAUGAGUUACGAGCUCCAUUGCAAACUUCACUUUCUGCUAAGUUCAUCGGGGAGCACGCCCGUCGCAAGAAGCAGCAGCGGGCGGGGCCGUCGCCGCCCGCCCCACACGGCCGAGGCAUCUUUAUUCAUUUUCGCUCUCUUAUAAAAUUAAUAAAUGUGGCUCCCCUGGGAGCGCUGGGUGUUUGGAGGACGAUGUAAUUUACUCAGGAGGAACCUGUCCUCCUGUUGCUCUGGCCCCACACUGCAAGACGACUAAUAUUUUCUGUCGCCUUUGUAGGACCGAAUAGAAAAAAAUCAUAAAAAUAUGAAUCAUAUUAUAGAUUUCCAGCUUGUGAAUAUUUUACAGUGGAAUUCAUCAAAAAUUUAGGUCGGGGGCUGCUGACUCGGCUGCAGAAAAUGCAAACCUGUGGCGCGGAUCCUUGAUUCAUGAGAAGGAGAAACAAGACCGUUUCUGGAGCCGGGCAACAGGAAUCGCUUUAACCAUUAUUGCCUUUCCUCUCUUCAUUAUUUAUAGGAGACUUAGGGCCGGCGCGGAGCGCCCGGAAACUCCAUUUUGAGCAAAGUUUGAGAAAAUACGCCACCGUGGUGAACUUGGCUGGAAGCUAUCGUGUUCCCUGGGGAAUAAAACGUGUCUUUAGGCUU
rnacentral:lncRNA from 1 species